rnacentral:tRNA from 1 species
GCCAGUCGUGGCGCAGGUGCAAGCGUGCGACUGUAAACGACAGGUUGUGGGUUCGAUUCCCACUGUGGUA